GAUGAAGAACGUAGCGAAAUGCGAUAAGUAAUGUGAAUUGCAGAAUUCAGUGAAUCAUCGAAUCUUUGAACGCACCUUGCACUCCUUGGUAUUCCGAGGAGUACGCCUGUUCGAGUGUUAUGAAGCUCUCAAAACGCAAUUGGCUUAAAACCUGAUUGUUGUUUUGGAUUUGAACUUUGCCGUGUUAUAACGGCUGGUUUUAAAAGUAUUAGCUGGUACUAGAACGAAUUGGUUCUACUCAACGUGAUAAUUAUCUGAUCGUUGAGGACAUUCCUUUCACGAGGAAUGGCCAUAGUAGAUUCAAUGGACUGCUUCUAAUCUGGCUUUAAUUCUUUAUUGGAUUAACCACUUUUCAAAUCUGACCUCGAAUCAGGUGGGACUACCCGCUGAACUUAAGCAUAUCAAUAAGCGGAGGA
rnacentral:misc_RNA from 1 species